UUUGAACAUAAUUUAAGGUCUAACCUGCCCACUGAUUAAUUGAAUGGCCGCGGUAUUUUGACCGUGCAAAGGUAGCAUAAUCAUUAGUUUUCUAAUUGAAAGCUGGAAUGAAUGGUUGAAUAAGAAAAUAACUGUCUCAAGUUAAAUUUUUUAGAAAUUUAUUUUUAAGUUAAAAAGCUUAAAUUUAAUUUAAAGACGAGAAGACCCUAUAGAGUUUAAUUUUUUUUCUUAUUUUAAUUUUAAGAUUUAAUACUUUUAAUUAGAAAAAAUUUUUAAUUGGGGUGAUUAGAAAAUUUAAUUAACUUUUCUUUAUUAUUACAUUAAUUUAUGAAUUUAUGAUCCUUUUAUUAAGAUUAAAAGAUAAAAUUACCUUAGGGAUAACAGCGUAAUUUUUUUUAAGAGUUCUUAUCGAAAAAAAAGAUUGCGACCUCGAUGUUGGAUUAAAAUAAAUAUUUGGCGAAGAAGUUAAAUUAUUAGGUCUGUUCGACCUUUAAAAUUUUACAUGAUCUGAGUUUAGACCGGUGUGAGCCAGGUCGGUUUCUAUCUUGAAUAAAAAUAAAUAUUAUAGUACGAAAGGACCUAAUAUUUAAUUUAUAAUUUAAAUUUUGAAUAUUAUUGUUAUUUUGGCAGAUUAGUGCAAUAGAUUUAGAAUCUUUAUAUGUAAUUUAAAUUACAAAUAACACUUGAUUUUAAAAGAUAUAUUAUUAUUAUUUGUUUCUAUAUUAAUUUUAUUAAUUUGUGUUUUAAUUGGUGUAGCCUUUUUAACUUUAUUAGAACGUAAGGUUUU
rnacentral:rRNA from 1 species